rnacentral:rRNA from 1 species
UACGAAGGGGGCUAUCGUUGUUCGGAAUUACUGGGCGUAAAGCGCACGUAGGCGGGUCGUUAAGUCAGGGAUGAAAUCCCAGAGCUCAACUCUGGAACUGCCUUUGAUACUGGCGACCUAGAGUCCGGAAGAGGUUAGUGGAAUUCCCAGUGUAGAGGUGAAAUUCGUAGAUAUUGGGAAGAACACCAGUGGCGAAGGCGGCUAACUGGUCCGGUACUGACGCUGAGGUGCGAAAGCGUGGGGAGAAAACAGG